rnacentral:lncRNA from 1 species
AUCCCCGUAAGUCUCAAUUUCUAGACUUAGCCAAAUUUCAGCCUUUUUCGUUUUCGCUCCGUUUUCGCUCGUUUUCGCUCGUUUGGUCUCCGAUUCAUUUCAAAUCGAACCGAGACUCUGCAAACAUGUUUUCGAACAUGUUUUCAUCAUUUUUUCAUCCACGCUAAUAUCCGAUUCAGUCCAUGGUCCAACAUAGCCUUUCGGGUUCCGUUUUCGCGCCUACGCGCGCCGAAACGCCUGAAUGCUUCCAAACUUCACCGGAACCAUUCCAAUAGCUCUCCAAACUAAUAUAAACUGUAACUUCAUUAUUUUAGAAGUCCGGUACCUUACACCCACUACACGGA